GUUCGCGGGCGGCGGCCUUUGUCUUAGCUGGGGAAGGGAUUGGAAGGGGUUGGCCGAGGCGGCGGAGGGAACGGGGAGCUCCUCGCCGCUCGCUGGUGAUUAGCGGCAGGUCGGCCAGGCGAAGACGGCGCCCGGCGAGUCACCCCACAAGCGGGGUUUGUUCGCGGGAGGCGUGCUUCACAGGGAGGGCCGCAGGCAAGAGAGGUGUUGGUCUGGAGAGGAGCUCGGCCGUAGCUACCCCUUCGUGCUCGCCACCAGCAAGCGCCGUCGAUGGGUGAUGUAGUAUUCGCCGGAGCCGGUGGGGCGCAAGAGAUGAUUGUGGAUUUUUCCCAACGAAGAUAAUGGAGAUAUGGGAACCAGCUUUGGAUCCGCGGAAGCAUUUCUCACAGGAUGAUAUCCAGAAUAUAAGGAUUCAAUAUAUGAAUCAACUAUUCUUUUGGAAGAAAAACACCGCAGACAAGAGGCUUGUCACUGAUUUCAACCUACAGGGUGAUUUCGUCGACAAUCCUGCAUGAUAGCUUUGGUUUCUCUAUGUAUUUUGGGCCUGUUGGACGUAUAUCAAGAGAAAGAGAGUUCGCCUACUUUUUUUCCGAUGUCUCACAAAGAACUUUUUUUUAACACCACAAAGAACAUUGUUAGUGGAGGGGGAUAGGGGGGAGUUUUGUCUUGGACGUACAAACACCUCACGCCCGUUGUAAAUGGGGGAGUUUUGUCUUGGAUGUGCAGACACCUCAUGCCUGUUGUAAAUGGG
rnacentral:rRNA from 1 species